AUUGAACGCUGGCGGAAUGCUUUACACAUGCAAGUCGAACGGCAGCACGGACUUCGGUCUGGUGGCGAGUGGCGAACGGGUGAGUAAUGUAUCGGAACGUGCCCAGUCGUGGGGGAUAACGUAGUGAAAAUUACGCUAAUACAGAAUACGAACUAUGGAUGAAAGCGGGGGAUCGCAAGACCUCGCGCGAUUGGAGCGGCCGAUAUCAGAGUAGGUAGUUGGUGGGGUAAAGGCCCACCAAGCCAACGAUCUGUAGCUGGUCUGAGAGGACGACCAGCCACACUGGAACUGAGACACGGUCCAGACUCCUACGGGAGGCAGCAGUGGGGAAUUUUGGACAAUGGGCGAAAGCCUGAUCCAGCCAUUCCGCGUGCAGGAUGAAGGCCCUCGGGUUGUAAACUGCUUUUGUACAGAACGAAAAGGUUUCUACUAAUACUAGGAGCUCAUGACGGUACUGUAAGAAUAAGCACCGGCUAACUACGUGCCAGCCGCCGCAGUAA
rnacentral:rRNA from 1 species